AUGAACCUGCAAAUACCACAGAAUAGGGGGUGUGGGCAGGAAAAGACCGACACACAAAGCCAGAAACUGCCAUCCCUGUGUUCCAGAAAAUGCAAACAAGUCAAGACAUAUCCCUGUGGCUUCGAUCCCAAGGGGUUCCGGCGGCUCGUGUGGCUGCCCCUUGCGUGUCUGUUUGAUAAGCUGGCAGUAGAUCUCGUUCUGCAGCUCUGGGUGGGUGAGACACACUUGUAGAGCACACUGGGCAAGAGUCACAUGAUAAUCUAUGGCUGGAGUGUCAAUGGCCACGUUAAUGAAGAGCUGACAUGUCUGUAAAGAAAGGAAAAGGAGGGUUUCUGCCUGUUUUUUGUGAGUUAUUCCAUCUAAAUAUGUAAUAAAUGAAGACGUAUAACCUUGAAGAGCUUGAUGGCUUCAGUUUGUUAACCUUGAAGAGCUUGAUGGCUUCAGUUUGUAGAGCCUGUGAAGGAAGGGUGGUGAGUGGAGACGACAGUCCUUCCUUUGUGAAGCACAGCGUCGGGUGUCUCCAGAGCUGAGACCCUGAGAAACAACGGGACAAAUAUGGACAUUAACUUGUUUGUAUAUAGCUACAGUUUAAAAGGGCAGCAUGCGGUUGAAGUAAACAAGUUGAGAAUAAACUGAAUUUAUGAUAUAAUGCUUGCCAUGCUUAUAUUUUAAUAACAUAUGUCAUAUCAGUCUCAGCCUCAAGCGGCAGACCCACACGCCACAGUGCUUUCAUUUAGACGUGUUUACCACGGCACAAAUGCUUGGGGCCCCUGCUGGCUAUAAGCAACUGAAUAAACCACUUAGUUACUGCAUAUUUUUUACAUUACAGUCUUGUUGGCUUAUAGUUUAUGAAACCGCAUGAAAAUGAAAACAGAAAAAGAUACACUUUUUUACUUCAUUCUUAACCUUUUUGACUCCAAUGCCUCGCAUUAUCCAAACAAUAUUUGAAGGGCCGGCAAGAGCUGCAUGUUCUUCAGAAUUCCUUCGCUUUUUAACCAAUUUACACAACUUUUCCAGUUGUUCAUCAUUAACUUUAACUAAUUAAACUGUCAGUAAUAAAAAAGCAAAGGACAAAUACAAUAUAAUAAAAAGAUACAAAUGAAACAAACUGUACUUUAAUAUCUUGUUUUUAUGCAAGUCUCAAGCAGUUUACAGCCUACUAC
rnacentral:lncRNA from 1 species